CCAAUGUCUUGACUCUAUAAGUGACAUCCGGUGUGACAUUCAGAAACAUGCUGGUGACCAGAUUUCUCUUCUGCAGACAAUACUCCCCAAAGAGACUGCAGGUACAUGCACUUCACCAAGAAGCACUUGUGAGAGGUGGUUGCUGACUCUGUUACAGAUGGAUUUUCCUUUUUAAUAAAAUAAAAAGUAUUUCAGAAUCCUGGUGAACAUCCAUAGACAAAGAGAACGAGACAUUUUGCGGGGAUAGAAGUCAGCCAAGGGAAUUCAGGAGAGGGGAGAAGCUGAAAAUCAACAACUGGUUAUGGCCUCAAUAUACCAGAAAUGUCUCCA